ACGGAAGGCAGCAGUGAGGAAUAUUGGUCAAUGGUCGGAAGACUGAACCAGCCAUGCCGCGUGAAGGAUUAAGGCCCUACGGGUCGUAAACUUCUUUUGUACGGGAGCAAUAAGGUCUACGUGUAGGCCGAUGAGAGUACCGUACGAAUAAGCAUCGGCUAACUCCGUGCCAGCAGCCGCGGUAAUACGGAGGAUGCGAGCGUUAUCCGGAUUUAUUGGGUUUAAAGGGUGCGUAGGCUGUUCUUCAAGUCAGAGGUGAAAUACCGGGGCUCAACCCUGGAACUGCCUUUGAUACUGGAGGGCUUGAAUACUGUUGCCGUGGGAGGAAUGAGUAGUGUAGCGGUGAAAUGCAUAGAUAUUACUCAGAACACCGAUUGCGAAGGCAUCUCACGAAGCAGCGAUUGACGCUGAGGCACGAAAGCGUGGGGAUCAAACAGGAUUAGAUACCCUGGUA
rnacentral:rRNA from 1 species